AAUGCUUGGGAAUAUGCCUUAUGGUGGGGGACAACAGUUGGAAACGACUGCUAAUACCGCAUGAUGUCUACGGAUCAAAGUGGGGGACCUUCGGGCCUCACGCCAUAAGAUUAGCCCAAGUGGGAUUAGCUAGUUGGUGAGGUAAUGGCUCACCAAGGCGACGAUCCCUAGCUGGUUUGAGAGGAUGAUCAGCCACACUGGGACUGAGACACGGCCCAGACUCCUACGGGAGGCAGCAGUGGCGGAAUAUUGCACAAUGGGCGCAAGCCUGAUGCAGCCAUGCCGCGUGUGUGAAGAAGGCCUUCGGGUUGUAAAGCACUUUCAGUAAGGAGGAAAGGUUAAGUGUUAAUAGCACUUAGCUGUGACGUUACUUACAGAAGAAGCACCGGCUAACUCCGUGCCAGCAGCCGCGGUAAUA
rnacentral:rRNA from 1 species